rnacentral:lncRNA from 1 species
AAGUUGCACUGCGUCUGAUCCAUGUUUGGUUAUUCUGGAGGAUUGUUUGCUCUGGAGGUGUUCAGAUGCUGAUUUGAAGUGAGAAAUUGCUUCUGUGAGUGAUCCAUUUUUUUUAAAUACCUUUGUUUGUUAAGAAGAAAUCAUUCUUAAAUAAUAUUCCCAAGUUUGAUUAUUUACACGCAUUUUUGUGCUUUUAGGGUUCACUCUUGCGCAUCUGCAAUUCCAGUAAGUAACCCCUAUUUUCAUUUAUUGUCCCGCAUUUAUCUAUUUUAGAUAACAAAAUGAGUUAAUGACAUUAACUGCUUAUGGUUCCUAAUAUUCAUGGGUGGUCCUCUAGUUCCUUCCAAUGUAUUUCCUAGUUAAUAGUUGGAGGUUUUGUCAGCCUUUUGAUUUGCAUGCCAUUUGCUUGGGUUUCCUACAAUAAUCCUUUGGCCUUGGUGCAUUUCUGGUUAUGCUUAAAAAAAGAAACUACUAAUAUGAAUAUAAGUUUUAAAACAAAUUCUUUUUAUUGGUGGAAGUUGAAAAUUUGGAAGUUAAGUGUGUGAAAGUAAUCUCUACAUUAUUGUCAAAUCGAGUAAACCUCUACUUAUUAAGAAUUUUAUUUUAUUUUUUUAUUAUUUUUUUUCAAACAUGUUUGGAAAAAAUGUUGAAGUAAAUUUUAUUGACUUUUAAGCUUAACCUAUCACGCUGUCAGUAAUGCCAUCCAAUGUUUGAUAAAAAAUCAGCUGCGCCAUUCUUUUGAUGCACG